GAUGAACGCUGGCGGCGUGCCUAAUACAUGCAAGUCGAGCGAACGGUCGAGAAGCUCGCUUCUCUGAUGUUAGCGGCGGAUGGGUGUGUAUCACGUGGAUAACCUACCUAUAAGACUGGGAUAACUUUGGGAAACCUGAGCUAAUACCGGAUAAUAUUUUGAACAGCUUGGUUCAAAUGUGAACGACGUUCUUGCUGUCCCUUAUAGAUAGAUCCGUGCUGCAUUAGCUUUUUGGUAAGGUAACGGCUUACUAAGGCAACGAUGCAUAGCCGACAUGGGAGAGUGAUCGGCCACACUGGAUCUUAGAAUCAGUCCAGACUCCUACGGGAGGCACAAGUAGGCAAUCUUCCGCAAUGGGCGAAAGCCGGACGUGACAACGCCGCGUCAAAGAUGAGGGUCGUCGGAUCGUAAAACGCUGUUAGUAGGGAAGAACAGAUGUGGAAGUAACUGCUCACAUCUUGACGGUACCUAAUCAGAAAGACACGGCUAACUACGUG
rnacentral:rRNA from 1 species